CGCUUCUAUGUUUCUGCUUUCAACUAUGUGCUUCUGCCUUUGCUAGGAGAACAUGCCAGGGCUGGCCUGUUGGAGGGCUGGGAGAGUGAGGUGGGGAGCAGCAUUUAGGUUGUCUCUCACCCAAGACAGAAAAUAAUCAGAUUGACAGAUUUCACUUUUCUCCAAGACUCAUUACUCAUCUGUUGUGUGUAGAUUUCGGCAGGGGUUCAAGAAAGCAUAUUGAUGCAUGUAUGUUGCGGUCUUAAUGCAAAUCUGAUCUAGCCUUAGAACUCUGAGCAUACCAAGAACCUAAGGGUAAAUUUAUUUUUCAUACGCAUUACCCCUUUGAAACUUGAAGAAAGACAAGGAGGAACAUAGAAUGAAAAGCAGAUUAAAAUGAAGGGUACGUGCUGAAGGCUGGUUGGUCCACACGAUCAGACCCAGCUGGAUGUCUUAUACCUCCUCUUCUUUGUCAGUAGACUCCUGAAUUAUUAAGUUCAAUAAGAAAGGAAAGGGAUGGAAAGGAUUCGGAGUGUCUUAUUUCAGGUGUAAACCUUUAUGAUGUCUUCGUAUAUUCCUGUACCGCGUGCAAGCAUUGGAGGUUUGUGGCUGGAAAUCCUUCAAAGGUGACAAUGUACAGAAGAGUUGAUAUGAAUCAAGACUGGAUGAAUGAAGCCAUUGGUCCUUAUAAAUAUUUCCAAGUCUUAAAAUACCCCACUGAGAAGUUACUUUGGAGCUCUAUUUUACAGAGAAGGAAGUUGUGACUCGGAGGUGACAUU
rnacentral:lncRNA from 1 species